UCACAGAAGAGUGACAGGCUAUGUGAAUCCAGCCGUGGAUGUGUGUUCAUGUGCAUAAGAAAAGACAGCCCCAGUAUGUUCACUUUGAUGCCUUGAUAGAAAAACACCUGGAAAAUGUCUUAGAGAGAACAGAGCAGCCUGACCAGGAGCUG
rnacentral:lncRNA from 1 species